AAAAAAUACGGAUUUUGACCAGAGGUUCCACAGUUGAUGGGAGAUUCAGUAAGUAAAAGAUGCUGCCUGGCCUGCUGAGUUCCUCCAGCACUUUGUGUGUGCUGAGUAGAAUAGCCUGUUUGAGGAAGAGUAAUGAAAGAGGAGAGAAUCCAAAUAGAAGUGGACCAGCACACCAUGAAUACACAAAAUAGAAAACGUUCAGCAAGUUCACAAAAUACUAAAUCUCAGAAGAUAAGAGACUGCAUAAGAAGUGGAACUAAGUGUCUUAUUAAACGCAGGAGCUUAUGUUGGACUUGACUUUUUCCGUUUUAACCGAGAAAGCUGAAAAAAGGGUCAAACUAUUUUUGAAUUUUUAUCUCAGCCAUAAACAUCCUUGCUUGCAAUAAUUAUCAACCAGGCAGAUUUUCUUGGCUGAACUGCAAAUGAUUCGGCCCACUGCUCUGACUCAGUCCCCACCCCUACGUUUAAGUUUAUGUGGAUGCCAGUUCAUACUGUCUUAGGACUUUCAAUCUCAGAGUCAGGUGACAGGGCACAAUUACAUCCCACACAACCUAUCACAGAUGCUUGUUUUCUGAAUAUUCUGGCAGCCUUUGACAGAGCAAUGUUCCGUUGCCAG